CAGAGUGUAGUUUAGUGGGAGAAUUCUGGCUUUGGGAGCCAGGGGCAGGGGUUUGAAUCCCCUCUUUCUGA
rnacentral:tRNA from 1 species